rnacentral:rRNA from 1 species
CAGCCGCCGCGGGAAUACCAGCAGCCUAAGUGGUGGUCGCGAUUAUUGGGCCUAAAGCGCUCGUAGCCGGGCCGGUAAGUCCCUUGUGAAAUCGGACGGCCUAACCGUUCGGCGUGCAAGGGAUACUGUCGGUCUUGAGGCCGGGAGACGUCCGAGGUACUCCGGGGGUAGCGGUGAAAUGUUCUGAUCCUCGGGGGACCACCGGUGGCGAAGGCGUUCGACGAGAACGGGCCUGACGGUGAGGGGCGAAGGCUAGGGGAGCAAACGGGAUUAGAUACCCGCGUAGUCCCUGUCUCUUAUA